CUAGUUCCUGACAGAUUUUGAAUACCUGAAUAAAAUCAGAAAUGAGGCUGUUGUCUGGUUUACCUUCCACAAAGGUUCCAGGAAAGAGAAAGUAUACUUCCAAAGUAUGUUUGCAGUAUGUUGAGCCUGUGGUCCAUAAACCAGAGCCUUUGAGUAACCUCUGGCUACCAUCUACUCAAGAAAUGCUAAUUGGAAACAGCCAUGCCCCUUUAACAUCAUCACGGAAUGUUUUGAAUUGUAACAACAAAGGUGAAGUCAUUUGAAUUUGUCUUCUAUAAUGAAGUACGCAGGAAAAAAUAUAAGAGGUAAGAUAAUGAAAAAUGUAUCCCAGUAUUAAAUAACCAUUUAAUUAUAACAGACUAACACCAACCACACCUACAAAGGCAAGCACUAUCCCAUUCCGAAU
rnacentral:lncRNA from 1 species